GGGCCCGUAGUCUAGUAUGGAUAGGACGGCGGCCUCCGGAGCCGUUGAUCGUGGGUUCAAGUCCCACCGGGCCCG
rnacentral:tRNA from 1 species